UACGUAGGUGGCAAACGUUGUCCGGAUUCACUGGGCGUAAAGCGCGCGCAGGCGGAUUGGUCAGUCUGGGGUGAAAUCUCUCGGCUCAACUGAGAGAGGUCCCUGGAUACUGCCAGUCUUGAGGGGCUCAGAGGAGAGUGGAAUUCCGCGUGUAGUGGUGGAAUGCGUAGAUAUCAGGAGGAACACCGGUGGUGUAGACGGCUUUCUGGACCGUAACUGACGCUGAGACACGAAAGCGUGGGUGGCAAACAGG
rnacentral:rRNA from 1 species